rnacentral:rRNA from 1 species
GAUGAACGCUGGCGGCGUGCUUAACACAUGCAAGUCGAACGGAAAGGCUCCUGCUUGCAGGGGUACUCGAGUGGCGAACGGGUGAGUAACACGUGGGUGAUCUGCCCUGCACUUCGGGAUAAGCCUGGGAAACUGGGUCUAAUACCGGAUAGGACGAUGGUUUGGAUGCCAUUGUGGAAAGUUUUUCGGUGUGGGAUGAGCUCGCGGCCUAUCAGCUUGUUGGUGGGGUAAUGGCCUACCAAGGCGUCGACGGGUAGCCGGCCUGAGAGGGUGUACGGCCACAUUGGGACUAAGAUACGGCCCAGACUCCUACGGGAGGCAGCAGUGGGGAAUAUUGCACAAUGGGCGCAAGCCUGAUGCAGCGACGCCGCGUGGGGGAUGACGGCCUUCGGGUUGUAAACGCCUUUCGCUAGGGACGAAGCGUUUUGUGACGGUACCUGGAGAAGAAGCACCGGCUAACUACGUG